rnacentral:misc_RNA from 1 species
GAUGAAGAACGUAGUGAAAUGCGAUACUUGGUGUGAAUUGCAGAAUCCCGUGAACCAUCGAGUCUUUGAACGCAAGUUGCGCCCGAAGCCGUCAGGCCGAGGGCACGCCUGCCUGGGCGUCACACGCCGUUGCCCCCCCGCGCCCCGCACCCAACUCUUUGGGAGCGACCGCGGGGCGGGCUGAUGAUGGCCUCCCGUGCGCUCCGCCGCGCGGUUGGCCCAAAUACCGAGUCCCCGGCGACGUGCGCCACGACGAUCGGUGGUUGAGAGACCUCUGUCGCAAGUCGUGCGCGCCCGUCGCGUCACGCGGGCUCGCAUAGCGCCUCGCGCCGCACCCGGUGCGGAGCUUUCAACGCGACCCCAGGUCAGGCGGGGUUACCCGCUGAAUUUAAGCAUAUCAAUAAGCGGAGGA